GCCCCCCUUGUAGAGCGUACAAACCGUUGACAUUGAUUGUAGGGACCUAGGUUCGACUCCUAGGGGUGGCC
rnacentral:tRNA from 1 species